UAAAAAACAGCAAACAAAGAUCAAGACUGAAAGACGGAGAAAAGCAUCAUGGGCAAGAUUGUUUUGCUUUUAAACUUUUCUGUAGUUGUGAGCUCCUUGAGCUGAGACUAUAUUCAACAGCAUCUUUUUAUCAUUUCACAAGCUCAUAUGACUGAUAAAACGGAGGAGUGACAAAGAGAGCGAAGAGGCACAGAGAAAACUUGAGAAAUGACUGGGAGAACGACACUCUGAAGGAGCUCAGUGCUAUAAAGAUCCCUUUAAGCAGUCUAUCUGCUGCUGUGUCCUCUUUCUGUCCUCAUUCACUCUCAUGCUGAAGUGGAAAUCAUGGUCAGCAUCCCCAUCUGUGUGUGCUGAGGAUCAGAGCUGUGAUCAAGACAAACUCCCUUUCGUCUCUCAUCUUCUGAUGAUGCAAUUUCUCCAUGACACAAAGAGCCUUCAGUUUUCAUCAAGAGAUCUUUCACUCCGUGAGGAGCUAUUGUUGUACGACAUGACAGCAACAGGAGAAGGAAGAGGAGAUGACACCUCAUCUGCAGAUGAAUAAUUAAAAAACAGAUUGAUCAAAGUGGGGCCAAACGCACCCUUUCAUUCACCUGUCAUUAACGCCAAGAUUGGCUUCUGGAAUAAUUCAUCUUUUUGUUCUCUGGCUGCUUAACAUGGACGUUGAUUUUCUUGCUCCAGGGCUCAUCAGAAUGUCGUAUUAGGAUCCUUAAAAGCAACUUGAUCCUCUUGAUAGCAGCUGCAGUGAGAUCACAUCCCUCUGCUUCAUCUCACGUUGUUUCCUGCCUUUGCAGACUUUGACUUUGAAAGUUCAGCAAUGCAGCAUUAGGAUUCUCAGCCCAUCCGCUUCAUUCUACUGUGUUAAGGAAUGAGACGAGAGCGUGUGCAUGUAUAAGUGAAAAUGUGUGUGUGAACUGGUUUUACUAUUCUCAACAACUUUAUUAUUAAUUUUUUUUAAUUGACUUGAUAAUGUCCAGAAAAUAAGUAUUUAUUAAUAACUUCUAAAUGUACUUCCAGUGGACCCUAAAUUAAAAUUCAAGGUGACUUUUAAAAUGAAGAAUGUAUUUUAUU